GAUGAACGCUAGCGGGAGGCUUAACACAUGCAAGUCGAGGGGUAACAGGGUAGCAAUACCGCUGACGACCGGCGCACGGGUGAGUAACGCGUAUGCAACCUGCCUAUAACUGGGGAAUAGCUCCCUGAAAGGGGAAUUAACACCGCAUAACACUAUUGAUUCGCAUGGAUUGGUAGUUAAAUGUAGCGAUACAGGUUAUAGAUGGGCAUGCGUGACAUUAGCUAGUUGGUGAGGUAACGGCUCACCAAGGCUACGAUGUCUAGGGGUUCUGAGAGGAAGGUCCCCCACACUGGUACUGAGACACGGACCAGACUCCUACGGGAGCAGCAGUGAGGAAUAUUGGUCAAUGGGCGCAAGCCUGAACCAGCCAUGUCGCGUGCAGGAAGACUGCCCUAUGGGUUGUAAACUGCUUUUAAGUAGAAGAAACACAUCUACGUGUAGAUGUCUGCCAGUAUACUAUGAAUAAGCAUCGGCUAACUCCG
rnacentral:rRNA from 1 species